AGAGUUUGAUCAUGGCUCAGGACGAACGCUGGCGGUGCGCCUUAUGCAUGCAAGUCGAGCGAAGCUUUCCAGUAGUUUACUACAGAAAAUGACUGAGCGGCGAACGGGUGAGUAACGCGUGAGCAAUCUACCUUAGUUUCCAGGAUAGCCCGAGGAAACUCGGAUUAAUACUGGAUAAUCUUAUUACAUCACAUGAUAUUUUAAGUAAAGGUCAGCCGAACUAAGAUGAGCUCGCGUUCUAUCAGCUAGUUGGUGGGGUAAAAGCCUACCAAGGCUACGACGGAUAGCUGGUCUGAGAGGACGAUCAGCCACACUGGGACUGAGACACGGCCCAGACUCCUACGGGAGGCUGCAGCAGGGAAUAUUGUGCAAUGAGCGAAAGCUUGACACAGCGACACCGCGUGUGGGAUGACGGUUCUAGGAUUGUAAACCACUUUCAGGAGGGAAGAAAAUGACGGUACCUCCACAAGAAGCCCCGGCCAACUACGUGCCAGCAGCCGCGGUAAUACGUAGGGGGCGAGCGUUGUCCGGAUUUAUUGGGCGUAAAGAGCUCGUAGGCGGUUCAACAAGUCGGUCGUGAAAGUUUAGGGCUUAACCCUGAAAUGUCGAUCGAUACUGUUGUGACUAGGAUAUGGUAGAGGUGAAUGGAAUUCCGAGUGUAGCGGUGAAAUGCGUAGAUAUUCGGAGGAACACCAAUUGCGAAGGCAGUUCACUGGACCACUAUCGACGC
rnacentral:rRNA from 1 species